UACGGGGGGGGCAAGCGUUGUUCGGAAUUACUGGGCGUAAGGGGCUCGUAGGCGGCCAACUAAGUCAGACGUGAAAUCCCCAGGCUCAACCUGGGAACUGCGUCUGAUACUGGAUGGCUUGAAUUCGGGAGAGGGAUGCAGAAUUCCAGGUGUAGCGGUGAAAUGCGUAGAUAUCUGGAGGAAUACCGGUGGCGAAGGCGGCAUCCUGGACCGACAUUGACGCUGAUGAGCGAAAGCUAGGGGAGCAAACGGG
rnacentral:rRNA from 1 species